rnacentral:rRNA from 1 species
GUGGGGAAUAUUGGGCAAUGGGCGAAAGCCUGACCCAGCAACGCCGCGUGAAGGAAGAAGGUUUUCGGAUCGUAAACUUCUAUCCUUGGUGAAGAUAAUGACGGUAGCCAAGAAGGAAGCCCCGGCUAACUACGUGCCAGCAGUCGCGGUAAUACGUAGGGGGCAAGCGUUGUCCGGAAUGAUUGGGCGUAAAGGGCGCGUAGGCGGCCCGGUAAGUCUGAAGUGAAAGUCCUGCUUUUAAGGUGGGAAUUGCUUUGGAUACUGUCGGGCUUGAGUGCAGGAGAGGUAAGCGGAAUUCCCGGUGUAGCGGUGAAAUGCGUAGAGAUCGGGAGGAACACCAGUGGCGAAGGCGGCUUACUGGACUGUAACUGACGCUGAGGCGCGAAAGUGUGGGGAGCAAACAGGAUUAGAUACCCGAGUAGUCC